GACGAACGCUGGCGGCGUGCUUAACACAUGCAAGUCGAACGGUGAAGCUCCAGCUUGCUGGAGUGGAUCAGUGGCGAACGGGUGAGUAACACGUGAGCAACCUGCCCCUGACUCUGGAAUAAGCGCUGGAAACGGCGUCUAAUACUGGAUACGAGAAGGGUCCGCAUGGGCACUUUCUGGAAAGUUUUUCGGUUGGGGAUGGGCUCGCGGCCUAUCAGCUUGUUGGUGAGGUAAUGGCUCACCAAGGCGACGACGGGUAGCCGGCCUGAGAGGGCGACCGGCCACACUGGGACUGAGACACGGCCUAGACUCCUACGGGAGGCAGCAGUGGGGAAUAUUGCACAAUGGGCGAAAGCCUGAUGCAGCGACGCCGCGUGAGGGAUGACGGCCUUCGGGUUGUAAACCUCUUUCAGCAGGGAAGAAGCGAAAGUGACGGUACCUGCAGAAGAAGCACCGGCUAACUACGUG
rnacentral:rRNA from 1 species